ensembl:snoRNA
UCCUUCUUGUGGUUCAUAGGCAUGAUGAAUGAGGAUUUUGUGUUCAUGUGUGAGUUGUCUCCAUUAAACUUUAUGAUAAUGUCUACACAUUACCUAUUUGAUG